rnacentral:lncRNA from 10 species
CUCAGGGAAGAUUGUGGCAUAUUACUGAACUAGGCAACCUAGUGAUGUGUCUCUUCUGACAGGGGUUUGCCCACAUAGACAAUUGUGACAUAUCACUGGGCUCAGGACCCAGGUGAUGUGACUCUGCUGCCUGUUCCCAACGUUCAAGAGAGGAUUGUAACAUAUCCCUGGCCAAGAACUCAGGCUUUCCUGCAGGAGUGAUGCUGACAUGUUCCUCUAUUUGGCAUCUGAGUGAUAUGACCCUUGCCAUGGUCUAGCCCACAGAUGGAAUUGUGAUGUGUUGCUCUACCCAGCACCUAGGUGAUGUGACUCCAUUUUUCUGCCUUGACACUGUCCAUAAAAGGUAUUUUGACAUAUCUCUGGGAUAUGUACCCAGGUUACAUGACUCUCCUGCCUGUGUCCUGUCCACAAAUUAUGAAAUAUUACUGGGUCCAACACCCAGGGAUGUAACUCUCAUGCCUAG